rnacentral:rRNA from 1 species
AAAGAUCCUUCCGUAGGUGAACCUGCGGAAGGAUCAUUAAAUAAUUUGAGUAUGCUUAUGCAUAUUUCUAAUUUACUGUGAACUGUUUUACUGUUUAGCGUUUUGAGGGAUUGCCUAAAGAUUAUAGGGAUAGGUCUUUAGGAUGUUAACCUAGCUAAAGUCAGGCUUAGGCCUGGUAUCCUAAUUCAUUAUUUACCAAAAGAAUUCAGAAUUAAUAUUGUAACAUAAGCGUAAAAAACUUAUAAAACAACUUUUAACAACGGAUCUCUUGGUUCUCGCAUCGAUGAAGAACGUAGCAAAGUGCGAUAACUAGUGUGAAUUGCAUAUUCAGUGAAUCAUCGAGUCUUUGAACGCAUCUUGCGCUCAAUGGUAUUCCAUUGAGCACGCCUGUUUCAGUAUCAACAACAACCCACAUCCACAAUUUUGUUGUGAAUGGAAGUGAGAGUAUCGAUGUAAAAAUUGAACUCUUUAAAACUAUUAGGCCUGAACUAUUGUUCUAUUAGCCUGAACAUUUUUUUAAUAUAAAGGAAUGCUCUAGUUAAAAGACUAUCUUGGGGGCCUCCCAAAUAAAUCAUUUUUUUAAACUUGAUCUGAAAUCAGGUGGGAUUACCCGCUGAACUUAAGCAUAUCAAUAAGCGGAGGA